GACGAACGCUUGCGGCGUGCUUAACACAUGCAAGUCGAACGGAGCGGCCAACGGGUGAGUAACGCGUGAGUAACUGCCCCCCUCCCUGGGAUAACAGUUGGAAACGGCUGCUAAUACCGGAUAGUGGGGGAUGACUCGCGUCCUAUCAGCUUGUUGGUGGGGUAGUGGCCUACCGAGGCGACGACGGGAAGCCGGCCUGAGCGGGCGAGCGGCCACAUUGGGCUUAGAUACGGCCCAAACUCCUACGGUAGUCAGCAGUGGGGAAUAUUGCACCAUGGGGGAAACCCGGAUGCAGCAACGACGCGUGCUGUAUGACGGCCUUCGGGUUGUAAACCGCUUUCAGCCAUGACGCGGUAGUGGGAGGAGGAACACCGGCUAACUUCGGGCCAGCAGCCGCGGUAAUAC
rnacentral:rRNA from 1 species